rnacentral:rRNA from 1 species
UGGGGAAUAUUGCACAAUGGGCGCAAGCCUGAUGCAGCCAUGCCGCGUGUAUGAAGAAGGCCUUCGGGUUGUAAAGUACUUUCAGCGGGGAGGAAGGUGUUGUGGUUAAUAACCACAGCAAUUGACGUUACCCGCAGAAGAAGCACCGGCUAACUCCGUGCCAGCAGCCGCGGUAAUACGGAGGGUGCAAGCGUUAAUCGGAAUUACUGGGCGUAAAGCGCACGCAGGCGGUCUGUCAAGUCGGAUGUGAAAUCCCCGGGCUCAACCUGGGAACUGCAUCCGAAACUGGCAGGCUUGAGUCUUGUAGAGGGGGGUAGAAUUCCAGGUGUAGCGGUGAAAUGCGUAGAGAUCUGGAGGAAUACCUGUGGCGAAGGCGGCCCCCUGGACAAAGACUGACGCUCAGGUGCGAAAGCGUGGUGAGCAAACA